CUUAAGCUGAGGCAAGUCCAAAGCUGGCCAGUGAGGAGGAGGAGGAGGAGGAGUAGUCGUCGUUGUCGUUGUCAUUGUCGUCGUCAGCUGCACAAAAUGGAUCCACAGCUCUCAGAGGAGGAGUGCAAAAACUGAAGAGGGGAGAGAUGAGAGAGGACCUUGAAAAGUCAUCUUUCUGCAAGGGACUGCCAAACAGGGAAAUAUUCUGUGGCACAGGAAAAAAUAUCACAUUGUUGCUGGAUAAGAACAGAACACGUGUAAUGAGGACCCUUGACAAUUGUUAUCCUCUUGUUCAAACUCAACUGGAAUAUUAAUAUGUUGAUUGUAAAAAAUAAGAAUAUGGAGACAUGGAUCUGGAACAUCCAUUAAAAUGAAUGGGGCAGAAGAAGUCUUUGGGACUUCUACAUCAGUGAAAGUCCCAUCAGUUUGAAGCCUAUUCUGGGAAGACGAGGAGCAGACUUGAGAAGGUAGCGAUCUUUUCUUAAAAAAAACAAAACUUUUUUCUUCAAACCAACAAACAGAAGGAGGGGGAUAUUUUGAGGGGUUGAUAUCUCUUUAAGGAAGAAGUCCCUCUGUGUGUGUGUGUGUGUGUGUGUGUGUGUGUAUCUCUAUUUGUAUUUUUGCCAGGGCUUGUUUUUGUGACUGUGUGGCUUUCAGUUUUAGUUUCUCUUUUGCCUGGAGAGAGACAGUGGGAGGAGCCAGGUAGGGCUGAGAUGAGUUACACCUGGUUGGAGGGGUCGCAUUCCAGUUGAGCCUGUAACUCUGUUUGAAGCCUACCCUCUACAUAAGAGGAGACAGCCAGUGAAAUUAGCGACUAGAACUCAGUGAAAAGGAAUUAGCAAACAGGUAUCAUAGGAGUUUUAUAUGGAGUUCCGUGGGGAAGUGUAUGAGAAAGCUUGAACGGAGCCCCUCUCAAUCACAAAGAGCCCAGCUGGAAGAGAAGGUAAUGUUGGAGAUCCAGCUCCAGAUAGCAUUGACCUUUUGCACCAGUAACUCUAAUGACUAGUAGGGGCAUUGGGAGUAGAGAUAGUCAGGGUCUCCCAGGGGUGUAGCUAACAUUGAGCAGGUGGGUUCAAAGAACCCAGGAGCCCCAGCUCCUGAGGGCCCCCCAGCUCCACUCCUCUCUAUUUUCUUCAUUAUCUCACUCACUUCAAGGGGCUGCCAGAGAGAGGGGUGAACAUGGGCCUCCUCUGUAGCUAUGCCCAUGGGGUCUCCUUUUCUUUCCUGUCUAUCUCUGCAUCUAUGACCCCUCUAUUGAUAGAAUGUGCUCAGAAACUGCCUGGUAGUCUUCUCCUCCUCCUUCCCAGAAUGCUUCUAGCUCUCUCUCUGAGCACCAAGCUUCUAUAGAUCUCUCUCUGACCAACAUGUAGCCAGCAGUUAGAUAUAAGUA